UACAGAGGUCUCAAGCGUUGUUCGGAUUCAUUGGGCGUAAAGGGCGCGUAGGCGGCGUUUUAAGUCGGGGGUGAAAGCCUGUGGCUCAACCACAGAAUGGCCUCGAUACUGGGACGCUUGAGUAUGGUAGAGGUUGGUGGAACUGCGAGUGUAGAGGUGAAAUUCGUAGAUAUUCGGAAGAACACCAGUGGCGAAGGCGGCUCACUGGACCGGCAUUGACGCUGAGGUGCGAAAGCGUGGGGAGCAAACAGG
rnacentral:rRNA from 1 species